rnacentral:rRNA from 1 species
AGAACGAACGCUGGCGGCAGGCUUAACACAUGCAAGUCGAACGCGUGUAGCAAUACACGAGUGGCGCACGGGUGAGUAACGCGUGGAUAUCUGCCUUUUGGUUCGGAAUAACCCCGGGAAACUGGGGCUAAUACCGGAUGGUUCCUACGGGAUAAAGAUUUAUCGCCAAAAGAUGAGUCCGCGUCCGAUUAGCUAGUUGGUGGGGUAAUGGCCUACCAAGGCGACGAUCGGUAGCUGGUCUGAGAGGACGAUCAGCCACACUGGGACUGAGACACGGCCCAGACUCCUACGGGAGGCAGCAGUGGGGAAUAUUGGACAAUGGGGGCAACCCUGAUCCAGCCAUGCCGCGUGAGUGAUGAAGGCCUUCGGGUUGUAAAGCGUCUUUUGGCGGGGACGAUGAUGACGGUACCGCAGAAUAACGCCCGGCUAACUUCGCGCCAGCAGCCGC